CCUGGCUCAGGAUGAACGCUAGCUACAGGCUUAACACAUGCAAGUCGAGGGGAAACGAUAUUGGAAGCUUGCUUCCGAUAGGCGUCGACCGGCGCACGGGUGAGUAACGCGUAUCCAACCUGCCCACCACUUGGGGAUAACCUUGCGAAAGUAAGACUAAUACCCAAUGAUAUCUCUAGAAGACAUCUGAAAGAGAUUAAAGAUUUAUCGGUGAUGGAUGGGGAUGCGUCUGAUUAGCUUGUUGGCGGGGUAACGGCCCACCAAGGCGACGAUCAGUAGGGGGUUCUGAGAGGAAGGUCCCCCACAUUGGAACUGAGACACGGUCCAAACUCCUACGGGAGGCAGCAGUGAGGAAUAUUGGUCAAUGGACGAGAGUCUGAACCAGCCAAGUAGCGUGCAGGAUGACGGCCCUAUGGGUUGUAAACUGCUUUUAUAAGGGAAUAAAGUGAGUCUCGUGAGACUUUUUGCAUGUACCUUAUGAAUAAGGACCGGCUAAUUCCGUG
rnacentral:rRNA from 1 species